rnacentral:rRNA from 1 species
GACGAACGCUGGCGGCGUGCUUAACACAUGCAAGUCGAACGGACCAAGUAGAUAGCUUGCUAGAAGCUUGGUUAGUGGCGGACGGGUGAGUAACACGUGGAUAAUCUGCCUUUGACACUGGGAUAACACUGUGAAAACGGUGCUAAUACCGGAUACCUUAAUUAAGCCACAUGACUUGAUUAAGAAAGGAGCAAUCAGGUCAAAGAUGAGUCCGCGGCUGAUUAGCUAGUUGGUGAGGUAACGGCCCACCAAGGCGACGAUCAGUAGCCGGCCUGAGAGGGUGAACGGCCACACUGGGACGGAGAGACGGCCCAGAUUCCUACGGGAGGCAGCGGUGGGGAAUCUUCCGCAAUGGACGAGAGUCUGACGGAGCAACGCCGCGUGGGUGAAGAAGGCCUUCGGGUUGUAAAACCCUGUCUUCAGGGAAGAAAAAAAUGACGGUACCUGAGGAGGAAGCCACGGCUAACUACGUGCCAGCCGCCGCAGUAAGAC